CAAUAACUAGUACUUCAUAAGAAGAAAUGUGGAUAAAUCAUCCAAUGAAAUGUGUUUUUUUUUUUUCGGUAGGAUCCAAUGAAUUGCGUUUCGUAUGUUGUAAUUUUCACAUUCUGACGAAAUUAUUUGAUUUGGGCUUGUAGUUGGGGCAUGUUUGGACGUCUAUGCUUAAUCCUCGACAAGAUCUAAAAUGAAGCUCAUGUAGAUCCAGUUUGGCCUUGCGAUGUACAAGGCUUCUCUCGCGCUUACAUGAUUCAUGCGACUUCUCCACCUACCAAGCAAUAACAAAUAUUAUAACUUUGUCUUCUUGUCUCCCUUUUCUGGAUCAUCAUAACCCUACUCCUCUCCAUAUUUAGAAAAUUUAAGUUUUUUUCUUCUUUAAUGUAUACUUUCCCUUUUACUAAAUGCCAUCUUCAUUUAUCAACAGAUUGAUUGAUCUCAUUUUUAUUGUGAAAAACAAAGAGUCUAGGAGUGCUUGCUAUUGCUGCUAGGACUGCUUGCUAUUGCAUUGUAAUGGAUAAUACUGUAGAAUUGUUUAUAACAAAAUUAAAUGGUUAAAGGCAGAUCAGAAUAAAAUUAAAUUAUGUUUGCACUGGAUUAGCUUACUAAAAAGUAAUGUACUCAUAGUCAGUAUACCAAAUCGUUUAUCUGAGCGAUCGUCGGUCCAAUCCAAGCUAAUUGUUAUGAAUAUGCAACUUCAUGUAUCAUAGAGGUCAUGAAUACCGUACCAUAAAUCUAGUAAGAGUUAAAGGGGGCUUGUACACUAUCGUGAAGGUUUCCUCUGCAUUUUGGAGACAAGGGUUUUAACUUCAUAUGACGCAAACCUAUAUAAAAUGUUGUUCCCAGAAGAAGGAGAAAAAAAAAAAAGUGAAUCCUUAAACGUACUCUUACAUCCUUGUCCAAGAAUGCUCAUCACUUGCUAGAGUUAUACUUCUGAAGAAGUUCAAUGCUUCAUGUAUAUCAAACGGAAAUGGAUUCUGCCUUGGGAAACUUGGAAGGAGAAAAAGCCAAGAAAAUGAGGACGGUCAUGAUUAGGACUGGAACAAAGAGAAGGAACAGUGGUGGCGGUGGCAGUGGCGGCAGAACAAGCGGCAGAACCAGAAGGAAGAAAGUGAAAACAACCAUAACCAUGGUUGAUGUUAGAUUGAAACACUUUAACAUCAAAAUCAUCGCCGGCUGCUGCUGCUGAUAAUCAUCUCUAUGCAACCACAUAUACCAUCCAUUGUUAGAACUCAUGCAUAUCCUUCUUCCUCUUCUUCUUCUUUCCUGGUUUUGGGAGGAUGAAAAUGGGGUAUUUUGGCGUAAAAUGUGUAGAAAUUUUGAGAAACUAAGAGUUUAAAUAGAAUAGAAAAAGAAGGGAAAAAAGGAUUUUGAAAAACACUGUUCGAGAAAAGUGAAAGUUAAAGAAGCAAUCAUAGCUGCUGUGUGGUGAUCUUAAGGUUUGCGAUUGUUGGGUUCAUG
rnacentral:lncRNA from 1 species